CACACACACACACAAAGGAAGCUCUUAAAUAAUUCCAAUUUAUUGAAUUUUAUCUGUGUCAUGUGCAAUUCAGUGACACGAGGCAUAAGAAUAACAUGUGCUAUCAGUGACGACCAAAAGAUUUGGCAAAUGCCAGAAGACAAGGAUCUGGUAACCUUAACAAUGACCUUACCAUCCCUAUCCAAAAAGCCAAAAGAGGGGAAAUUUUGAGAUUAAAUAGGAAAAUCUUUGUGCCAGUAAUAAUGUCCGACACUGUAGCAUGAUCAAACAAAUAAACAUACUAUGAGGAUGCCAAAAUGGAAAACUAAUAGUGGAUGCACUGGUCAAACAGCUAAUAAUCCAAAACACAUUAAAAUACAGCAAUAAAGACAAGUAGGGUUAGAUAAUUAACAAAAAUCUGAGCCUCCCAGCAGGACUUUCUCAAACUAGUUUACAUAAAACACAGGGAUUUCAACUAUUGGCUAUCUACUCAGACCACAGCAUUGAUAACCGGUGGUUCAAGAAAUAUUACAUAAAACAUUUGAAAAAAAUUAGGCAAUGUAUCAUUUCAUGCCUCAAAUUAAGGUUUUCAUAUCUGUUUGACUUCCAUUUUUGCAUAUUUAACUAUGUAUAAGUUAUUUCAUUAUGAUUCGAAGCCACGAGCUUUAAAAAUAAUGAAGAUAUGCAAUUAUAGUUCCCAAAUCACGUCAAGAGCAAAAAGCCUUGAGAUGCAAACCUGAAACACUCAUGCAUGCAUACAAGUGUGAAUGCACAACAAUUUUCAUUGCAUGCAAUGGGAAUUUUAAGUGAAUCAACGCUGUUAAAUCUUCAGUUGAAAAAGG
rnacentral:misc_RNA from 1 species